UGCAGUUGCAUGGUGGAUGUUGGAAAAUAUUGAAAACAUCUGUGAUGUUGAAGCACUCCAUCCUGAAAGUCCUUGGACGUGUCCUAAAUACCGAGUCACUUUUGAUGCUUCUGUCAUCUGGGGUCUGAUUGGUCCGAGACGACUCUUUGGACCUGGAGGGAUGUAUCGGAAUUUGGUAUGGCUAUUCCUUAUUGGAGCUUUCUUGCCGGUACCAGUCUGGAUAUUGAGCAAAAUGUUUCCUGAGAAGACAUGGAUUCCAUUG
rnacentral:misc_RNA from 1 species